CCCUUAGAUGUUCUGGGCCGCACGCGCGCUACACUGAUGCAUUCAACGAGCCUAUCCUUGACCGACAGGUCCGGGUAAUCUUUGAAUCUGCAUCGUGACGGGGAUAGAUUAUUGCAAUUAUUAAUCUUCAACGAGGAAUGCCUAGUAGGCGCAAGUCAUCAGCUUGCGUCGAUUACGUCCCUGCCCUUUGUACACACCGCCCGUCGCUCCUACCUAUUGGGUGUGCUGGUGAAAUGUUCGGAUCGGCCGUUUGUCGCGGUUUCCGCGUCAUGUGGCUGAGAAGUUCAUUAAACCCUCCCACCUAGAGGAAGGAGAAGUCGUAACA
rnacentral:rRNA from 1 species